AUUAAGAUCUCAACUGACUCAACGUUUAACCGUCCAUCUUAUUUAAAAAAAUAAUUAGUAGUUUUAUUGUUAUAUAAGAUGAUAAAACAUAAAUAGUAAUUUAUAUGUGACUAAUUUAUUUAAUUUUUUUCAUAAAAUUUUUAAAUAAGAUAAGUGAUUAAAUAUUGGGCACGAAAAUCCACCGCACACUUAAA
rnacentral:pre_miRNA from 1 species